rnacentral:misc_RNA from 1 species
AAAAAAAAAAAAACAUAUAUAUGUUCAUACAUGCAUGCCAUCUUAAGCCAUAAAUCACUUAAUUUAUUCUGCUUAGGUAUAUAUACAGCCUCUGUUAGAUCAUACAUGGCUGGGUCCAAGCCUCUAAAAUAGGAGGGUUGCAAUACGCGACAAGUAACUGUUGUAAACUUUGUCACAUCACAUGAUACAGAUUCAAAAAUUAAAAACUUUACGAACUUUUUUCGUUUACCGUUUCUUAAGCUCCAAGCGAAGGGGCAAAUACUUUAUGAAUCUUUUUCAUUUUCCAUUUCUUACUCUUAAGUCAGUUUUAGAAAGGUUGUUGCUUGCAUAAGCCAACAAAGA